GAGGGUAUAGCUCAGUGGUAGAGUGUCUGCCUAGCAUGUACAAGGUCCUGGGUUCAAUCCCCAGUAAUUCCA
rnacentral:tRNA from 1 species